rnacentral:rRNA from 1 species
UGCUGACGAGUGGCGGACGGGUGAGUAAUGUCUGGGAAACUGCCUGAUGGAGGGGGAUAACUACUGGAAACGGUGGCUAAUACCGCAUAACGUCGCAAGACCAAAGAGGGGGACCUUCGGGCCUCUUGCCAUCAGAUGUGCCCAGAUGGGAUUAGCUUGUUGGUGAGGUAACGGCUCACCAAGGCGACGAUCCCUAGCUGGUCUGAGAGGAUGACCAGCCACACUGGAACUGAGACACGGUCCAGACUCCUACGGGAGGCAGCAGUGGGGAAUAUUGCACAAUGGGCGCAAGCCUGAUGCAGCCAUGCCGCGUGUAUGAAGAAGGCCUUCGGGUUGUAAAGUACUUUCAGCGGGGAGGAAGGUGUUGUGGUUAAUAACCGCAGCAAUUGACGUUACCCGCAGAAGAAGCACCGGCUAACUCCGUGCCAGCAGCCGCGGUAAUACGGAGGGUGCAAGCGUUAAUCGGAAUUACUGGGCGUAAAGCGCACGCAGGCGGUCUGUCAAGUCGGAUGUGAAAUCCCCGGGCUCAACCUGGGAACUGCA